CCUACGGGAGGCAGCAGUGAGGAAUAUUGGUCAAUGGGCGAGAGCCUGAACCAGCCAAGUCGCGUGAGGGAGUACUGCCCUAUGGGUUGUAAACCUCUUUUGUCGGGGAGCAAAAGCCGGACGUGUCCGGCUGUGAGAGUACCCGAAGAAAAAGCAUCGGCUAACUCCGUGCCAGCAGCCGCGGUAAUACGGAGGAUGCGAGCGUUAUCCGGAUUUAUUGGGUUUAAAGGGUGCGCAGGCGGAUUUUUAAGUCAGCGGUAAAAUCGUGGGGCUCAACCCCAUCCAGCCGUUGAAACUGGGGAUCUAGAGUGUGUGAGAGGUAUGCGGAAUGCGUGGUGUAGCGGUGAAAUGCAUAGAUAUCACGCAGAACCCCGAUUGCGAAGGCAGCAUACCGGUGCACAACUGACGCUCAGGCACGAAAGCGUGGGUAUCGAACAGGAUUAGAUACCCUUGUAGUC
rnacentral:rRNA from 1 species